AGUGAACGCUGGCGGUAGGCCUAACACAUGCAAGUCGAACGGCAGCACAGUAAGAGCUUGCUCUUACGGGUGGCGAGUGGCGGACGGGUGAGGAAUACAGCGGAAUCUACUUUUUCGUGGGGGAUAACGUAGGGAAACUUACGCUAAUACCGCAUACGACCUACGGGUGAAAGCAGGGGAUCUUCGGACCUUGCGCGAUUGAAUGAGCCGAUGUCGGAUUAGCUAGUUGGCGGGGUAAAGGCCCACCAAGGCGACGAUCCGUAGCUGGUCUGAGAGGAUGAUCAGCCACACUGGAACUGAGACACGGUCCAGACUCCGACGGGAGGCAGCCGUGGGGAAUAUUGGACAAUGGGCGCAAGCCUGAUCCAGCCAUACCGCGUGGGUGAAGAAGGCCUUCGGGUUGUAAAGCCCUUUUGUUGGGAAAGAAAAGCAGCAGGUUAAUACCCCGCUGUUCUGACGGUACCCAAAGAAUAAGCACCGGCUAACUUCGUG
rnacentral:rRNA from 1 species